rnacentral:lncRNA from 1 species
CCACUAAUUCUUGGACUCUAGCUAGGAUAAACUGAGUCCUAAUUCUGACAAGGACCUAAAGUGCUGGAAUAUUAAUUUCUAAUUGACUUAUUGUAAACAACAAAACUUAAUAGCAUUACUUAGACAAAGCUCAAACUAACCAACUAAUUUAUCAACUAACAAUCAAGUACUCUUUAACAAGCCUGAUGUACAACUCAAUUUUGAUUUUGUAACAUUUCUCUAUCCUUAAAAAGAGUCCUUGUCCUCAAGGAAGGAAUUGAGGAAACCUGGUCUUCAAGGUUGCGUAAUCUUCCCAUGUUACUUGUUCAACAAGAAUGCCUUGCCACUGAAUGAGCACCUGAGCUACAGCUUUGUUCCCUUUCUUUAUCAUUCUCCUUUCCAAAAUCUUUUCUGGUUCCACACAAAAUGGACUAGCUAUAUCAAUCACUGUGGGAUGAUUGAAGGAACUAGGUACCUCAUUACAUGGUUUGAGUUAAAAAAACAUGAAAUAAAGGAUGCAGAGCUACAUGAUCAGGUCAGGAUAGUUUAUAGGCCACAGUUACCACCUUCUACAACACUUGGUAAGGGCCAUAGUACUUAGCGAAUAGCUUGAUGAAAGGCUGGUCUGAGAGAGAUAAUUACCUAUAAAGUUGGAUCCUUAAGUAAACCCUAUCUCCUACUUGAAAUUGUCUAUCAAUCCUAUCUUUGUUGGUUUAAUUCCCCAUUAUUGGUCGAGCUCGAGCUAUAUGAAACUUUAGUAGUUGAGUCUUAAACUCUUUAGUAACCAGGCUCCUAUCUACUUCUCAAUCCAUAGACUCCCAGGAAGAUAAGGCAAAUGCACAGGGGGUUUUUGUCCAUACAAAUCUUCAUAGGGACUUUCCUAGAUGGAAGAAUAGAAUGUUAUAAUGUACCACAGCUCUGCUAGAGGUAAGUACGCCACCCAAUCAUGUUGAAUAUCUGAGCAAUAGCACCUUAAGUAUUUCUCUAAUAUUUUACUAACCACCUUAGUUUAACUAUCUGACUGAGGGUGGUAUGUUGUGGAUGUUCUUAGAGUAGCUCCUUGCAUAGUAAAUAGCUCCUGCCAAAGCCUGCUAACAAAUAUCGUGUUCUUGUCACUUACUAUAUUUUCUAGCAUCCCAUGCAAUUUGAAAAUCUAAUCCAUGAAUACUUGAGCUACUCCAGCUAUAAUAUAAGGGUGGGGAGGUGAAGUGACUGCACUAAGUGAACCUAUCAACUACUACCAUAAUUGUGGUCUUUUAUCUUAACUUUGGCAACCCUUUAAUAAAAUCUAAGUUAAUGCUAGCCCAAGCAGAUGAGGGUAUUAUAGAGGUUGAAUCAAUCCUAGUGAUGCUACAUAUCAAAUUUACUCCUCUGAAAAGUAGCACACUGUUUGACAUACAUCACUUCAUCCUCCUUCAUACCCUUCUAGUAAAAUAGAGCAACUAUUCUCCUGUGAGUGUUAUCCAUGCCCGAGUGACCAGAUGUUGCAGAGUUAUGUCAAUUUUGAUUAAUUUCCUUCCUCAAUUGGAGGUCCUUUCCUACAACCAACUUGCCAUGCUUUCUUAGCUAUUGGUGAAUGAAAGUGUAGCCCUUAAUUGACUCUCUUUGAUCGCUGAUCUUGUUUACCAAGCUAGUUAAGUCUGGAUCCUUAUCCGAGCUAUCUUUCAUCCUCUAAAAUAAGGUAGAAUCUACUAGUGCUAUUGCUAAUAUAAAGAGCUCAGUGGAGGGCAUUCUUGACAAGGCAUCUGCUACCUUAUUUUUUCUUUCCUUUUUAUAUUCUAUCAUAAAGUCAUAUUGUAUAAGUUUGGCCACCCAUUUUAUUUGAAACCCUAUAUGCAACUUCUGAUCCAAAAGGUAUUUAAGGGCCUUCUGAUCAGUCUUCACCACAAAGUGUCUUUCCAUCAAAUAUUGGUUCCACUUGGUGAUAGCCAUCACUAAAGUUAGUAUCUCUUUAUCAUACACAGAUAGAGUCAUAUGUCUUCCUAAUAAUCCUUUACUCACAAAAGCUAUAGGAUGCCCUUGCAUCAGCACAACUCCAAUACCUAAGUUACAUGCUUGUUUGGUAAUACUAGCACUGGGGCAGUAGUUAAUGCAACCUUCAAACUGUCAAAUGCAUUUGAGGCUUUGCUGGACCAUUUGAACCCUUCAUUUUUAGGAAGUCAAUCAAUGGUUUUCUAAUGAUUUCGUAUAACCUGAUGAACCUUCUGUACUAACAAAGAGCCCCAGAAAACCCCUGAGUUCCUUGACAUAUUUGGAAAUUGGCCACCUCUAUACUGUAUCUAUCUUUCUGUGAUCAUUUGAAACUCUUUCUACUAAUAUAAAAUGACCAAAGUAUUAAUUUUACUAGCUCCAAAAGUGCACUUCCCCUUUAUAGCAUACAACUAAUGUUUCUCAAGUAGCUCAAAAGUGAUCCUCAAGUGUAGUAAAUAUUUUUCCAAGCUACUACUAAACACUAAAAUAUCAUCAAAGAAAACUAGUAUAAACUUCCUCAUAUAUGCCUUAAACAUAUGGUUCAUUAAACUUUGGAAACUGGAAGAAGCAUUAGUGAGGCCAAAUAGCGUGAGCAUGUACUCAUAAUACCCUGCAUGAGUCUUGAAAGUUGUUUUCUGAAUAUCUUCAUCUGUCAUUCUUAUUUGGUGAUAACCUGAUCUAAGAUCUAUUUUAGAGUAAAUCUUUGAACCACCCAACUCAUCCAAUGACUCCUCAAUAAUGGGAAUAAGAAAAUUUUCCUUAAUAGUAACCUUGUUGAGAACUCUAUAAUCUACACAAUGCCUCCAUGGCCCAUCUUUUUUGCCUACAAGCACCAUUGGAGAUGCAUAUGGAUUGCAACUAGGUUGAAUGAUCCCCUGAUUAAGUUUACUGAACCAACUUAUCUAUCACAUCAUUCUGUUGUGAGGAAUAUUUGUAUGGUCUGGAGUUGAUUGGAUUAGCAUUUUGAUACAAAGGUAUCCUAUGAUCAAAAUGGCCUCUUGUAGGAGGUAGUCCAAGAGGUUCUGAAAACACCUUGUCAAAUUGCUUAGUGAGAUCCAAAAUCAAGGGAUGGUCCCCUUGUUCUUCACCUUUUCUCUUCGCUUUAGUCUUGUAAGACCCCGUAAAAUGCUAAAGCUUAAUACAGUCCUUUAAGAGUGUCAAGGGGGUCCUAGACUUAGAAAAUUUUAGCUACAUUCCAGACUUAGCUAUAUUUUGGCCUUCAAAAUUUGACAAAUUUAUGUUGCCAUCUUAAUGUACUUUAAUGGUCCGUAAUUUUAUUGAUUCAUGAUCAGGAAAGUCAAAAGGUGUUUCCGGACAAGUUUCAGAUUCUUUGGAAACUCAUUUAGAUCAAGAUUGGAAGUCCAAAAUAGUGGACCAAUGCAAUCUUGGUGCGUCGCGUCGCCAAUCGCGUUGGUUACCUGUUGUGCAGACUACCAAAGCCAAAACAACUGAGGGUUGACACGUUCAUGGCGCACCGCAUCGGGUAUAGCGCCGCAGCCCUCAACACGUCGUGUCACUCAUAGCGUCAGUGCCCAGUUAUUUAGUCAUUAAAUGUUUGCAUUUUUAAGGGCAAUUGGGUAAUUUUCCCAACCCUAUAUAAGGCUUAAACACUGGAUUAAGCCUCAUUUACACCAAAAUACACCUUUUUCUCUCAAUAUUCUCCCAAGAACACAUUAGGGUUUUUAAUUAGGGAUCCAAGUCCAAGAAAAUUUCUUUGUGAAUCAUCAAGAAUCUUCCAUCUAAGGUAUACAUAGUGUUCAUUCAUGGACUCAUUUCGUCUAUGAAGCCCAAGAAUCAAGUUUUAAAUUACAAAUUGUGAUAUUCAUUCUAUGAAUUGAAUUGAAUUAUGUUCAUGUGUUGUUGUUGUAUGAAUUCCAAGAUGGAACCUUUAUUAUGUCUUUAUGAAAUUAGCUAAUAUGUGGACUGAAAUCAUGAAAUUGGGUUGAAUUGCGAAGUAAGGUUGUAUUAAAUUCAUGCUCAUGCCUAAGCCUUAAAUCAUACAAUCUAAGUGUUUGAUAAAAUACCUAGGAAAAUAGAAAUUAUGCUUGAUAGUUAAAUUGUGACCCAAGUUAUGAAUGUAUGCGUUCCCCUAUAUUUAAAAUAAUUUUCAUGAGGAUUAUUUUGUAAUACAAUUGCGUGAUGAUAUAAUUAUGAUAUUAAAAUGAUAAAGUUAUGACAUGAUCAUGUGCAUUCUAAGCUAUAUACAAGAUUAUGAUAACCAUGUGCUUCAUGAAAUAUCCCUACUGUCAUAGUACGAAUUGUUGAAGUUGGCCAUGUAUUCACGAAAGUCAUGCUUUGUCAGUUUUCCUUCUAUCGAGUCCUGGGGUUACUUGUAUCCAAAAAAUAUAUUUGUGUACCUAAAGCCAGUAUCAUGUUUCACGAUAUUCUUAGUCAAGCCAUGAUCCAUAGAAAUCAGUCAGACAUGUGACUCAAGAAAUCUCAGUAAAUUCAGAAAUCUCAGUAGUAUUUUGCCAGUCAACGAAACUCUAAAAAAUCAGUCUAGUCUAGUUUAGUUAAUUAUGUUCAGUAUCUAUUUAGAUGGGAGUAGGAAUUAGCACCGAGUGAACCCAUGGAUGGGAACUCACCUUUUAUAUGAGGGUGUGAUUCUUAGAAGCAAUCCUUGUGUUCCUGAACUACGUAGCCAGCGUAGGUUGAGAUACCAUAGCCUGUUAUAUGAGGGUGGAUGUGAUGGAUUAACCUGUUAUAUGAGGGUUUCCAUCGUUCUCACUAGAUUUACCUAUUAUAUGAGGGUUGCUCACAAAUUUUCCUUACUAGUGGUGCGGUAUUGACACUCUUCCAAUUGGGGUUACAGAUUGGACCCUAACUCAGCUAUAUUGUGAUUAUUUAGGGCAUGUCAGUUAGAUAACUACUUUCCAUAGUUUCAGUUAUAGAAUUAGGACUUCAGGUACAAUCAUUCAGCCUCAGUAAUAGAACUCAGAUAGUUCUACAGAAUUCAGGACUAUCAGAUACAGUCAACUCAGAAUAGUACGAAACUCAGCUAGUUCCAUCAGAACAUAGACUGUCAGAUACAGUCGCUCAGUAUCAGUUAUAUCAGUUAUACUAGUUUUAUUAGUUAUAUCAGUUAUCAAUAACUCAUGAUACCAGUAAUCAAUUUCAGGACUGUCAAAUAUAGUCAAUCAGACCAGUUCUUCAUAAUCAGAACUAUUAGAAACAAUCAUUCCUCUAUCAGUAAUAUAUCAUCAGUUCCCUAGUAUUCAGUAGACUCAGUUAUCAGUAUCAGUAAACCCAGAUAUUAGUAAAUAAGUACUCAAAACUUAGUACCCAGUGUCAUUAUGGUGUCAAUUACAGUUAAUUAUUCAUGCAUGUAUUCUCACGUUUAUGUUAUAUAGUCAUUUAGUAUUGUUAUUUUUAUUGAUUCAUGGUCAGGAAGGUCAAAAGUUAUUUUCGGAUAAGUUUUGGAUUUUUUAGAAACUCAUUUAGAUCAAGAUUGAAAGUCCAAAAUAGUGGACCAACACGAUCUUGGCGAGCCACGUCGCCAAUCGCAUUGGUCACCAGUUGUACAGACUGCCAAAACCAAAAUAACUGAGGCUUGACGCGUUCAUGGAGCGCCGUGUCGGGUCUAGCAUCGCAACCCUCGAUGCGUCGCAUCACUUAUAGCAUCUGUGUUCAGUUAUUUAGUCAUUAAAUGUCCGCCUUUUUAAGGGAAAAAGGGUAAUUUUCCCAACCCUAUAUAAGGCUUAAACACGGAAUUAAGCCUCAUUUACACCAAAAUACACCCUUUUCUCUCAAAAUCCUCUCAAGAACACAUUAGAGUUUUCAAUUGGGGAUUCAAGUACAAGCAAAUUUAUUUGUGAAUCAUCAAGAAUCUUUCAUGUAAGGUAUGCAUAGUGUUCAUUCAUGGACUCUUUUCAUCUAUGAAUCCCAAGAAUCAAGUUUUAAAUUACGAAUUAUGAUAUUCAUUCUAUGAAUUGAAUUAUGUUCAUGUGUUGUUGUUGUAUGAAUUCCAAGAUGGAACCUUUAUUAUGUCUUUGUGAAAUUACGCUAAUAUGUGGACUAAAAUUAUGAAAUUGGAUUGAAUUGUGGAGGUUGUAUUGAAUUCAUGAUCAUGCCUAAGCCUUAAAUCAUGCAAUCUAAGUGUUUAAAAAAAUGCCUAGGAAAAUAAAAAUUAUGCUUGAUAGUUAAAUUGUGACCCAAUUUAUGAAUGUACGUAUUCCCUUAUGUUUGAAAUAAUUUCCAUGAGGAUUGUUUUGUAAUACAAUUGCGUGAUGAUAUAAUUAUGAUAUUAAAAUGAUGAAGUUAUAACAUGAUCAUGUGUAUUCUAAGCUAUAUACAAGAUUAUGAUAACCAUGUGCUUCAUGAAAUAUCCCCUACUGUUGUAGUAUAAAGUGUUGAUGUUGGCCAUGUAUUCACGAAAGUCAUGCUUUGUCAGUUUUCCUUCUAUCGAGUCCUGGGGGUACUUGUACCCAAAAAAUAUAUCUGUGUACCUUGAGCCAGUGUCAUGUUUCACGAUAUCUUCAGUUAAGCCAUGAUCCAUAGAACUCAGGCAGCUAUGUGACGCAGGAAAUCUUAGUAAAUUCAGAAAUCUCAGUAGUAUUCCGUCAGUUAAUGGAACUCCAAGAAAUCAGUCUAGUCCAGUUCAGUUAAUUAUGUUUAGUGUCUAUUCAGAUGGGAGUAGGAAUUAGCACCGAGUGAACCCAAGGAUGGGAACUCACUUGUUACAUGAGGGUGUGAUUCUUAGAAGCAAUCCUUGUGUUCCUGAACUACGUAGCCAGCGUAGGUUGAGAUACCAUAGCCUGUUAUAUGAGGGUGGAUAUGAUGGAUUAACCUGUUAUAUGAGGGUUUCCACCGUUCUCACUAGAGUUAUCUAUUAUAUAAGGGUUACUCACAAAUUGUCCUUACCAGUGGCGUGGUAUUGAUACUCUUCUAAUUGGGGUUACAGAUUGGACCCCAACUUAGAUAUAUUGCAAUUAUUUAGGGCAUGUCAGUUAGAUAACUACUUCCCACAGUUUCAAUUAUAGAAUUAGGACUGUCAGAUACAGUCAUUUAGUCUCACUAAUAGAACUCAGAUUGUUCUGCAGAAUUCAAGACUGUCAGAUACAGUCAACUCAGAACAGUAUGGAACUCAGCUAGUUCCAUCAGAAUAUAGAUUUUCAGAUACAGUCGCUCAAUAUCAGUUAAAUCAAUUAUACCAGUUAUCUCAGUUAUGUCAGUUGUCAGUAACUCAUGUUACCAGUAAUCAGUUUCAGGAUUGUUAGAUACAGUCAAUCAGACCAGUUCUUCAUAAUCAAAACUAUUAAAAAUAAUUAUUCCUCUAUCAGUAAUAUACCAUCAGCUCCCCAGUACUCAGUAGACUCAGUUAUCAGUAUUAGUAAACCCAGAUAUUAGUAAAUUACUACUCAGAACUCAGUACCAGUGUCACAGUUACAGUUACUUGUUCAUGCAUGUAUUCUUACGUUCAUGUUAUAUAGUUAUUUAGUAUUGGUUAUGAAUAUGAACCCUUGCAUUCAGCCUACCUCACAUGUAUACCAAUACAUUCAAUCGUACUGACGAAUUUGCACUAUAGUGUUUUACUUUACGCCAUAGGUUCAGAAGCACGAGCUCCAGAUCAUCAGUAGUAUUCCAGUAUCUAGCAGUCAGAGUUAGUAGUGAGUCCUCAUCCUUUGAGGACAUGAUCAUUAUUUUAUCAUUUCAGUACUUAGUUUAUUUCAGUAGUUGGAGUUAGUUGGGGAUAUGUCCCAUCAAAUUCUUAUUCAGACUGUUUAGAGGCUUUCAGACUAUAGUAUAUUCAGACAGUUUAUUUCAGUUUUAGGUAUUUCUAUACCCCAUUUAAAUGUUGUUUUAUCAAAUUUUAUGUUUCAUAUUUGAACCUUAUGGCCUUAUAUCUUAUGUUUCUGCAUUUAUAUAUGUAUAUUGUGCAGUGUUCAGGUAUAGAUAUUAGUCAUGGGUUAGCUUAUAGUCCUUUGGGGUCAUGAGCAUCGUGUAGCAUUUUGGGUACGAGAUUCUGCGCAUUACAAGUCUACAUAACUCUUAUCAUGAAAAUUUGAUGUACAUUGUUAUCUAGCUUAACCAGCUCCUCGGAUUUUGUAGUUUUCACCUUGUCAAGUUGUCCCCUUAGCAGACAUUCCUUACCUUGAUGCUGAAACCUCAUCUCUAACUUCUGGAAAUUGAAGUACAGAUCACCAAGAGGUUUAAGACACUGUACUCCUAGGAUCAUAUCACAUGACCCUAGGGGUAUGAGCAAAAAUUCAUCACUGAAGGUUACAUCACCUAAAACCAGGUAAAACCACAAGAUUCAGUGGUUUGUCUUACUCCUUUAUCAGCUACAAUAAUCAGUUGAAGCUUCAUUAUUUGUAUAUCACCCCUAACUUCUGAGCCAAUUCUACCUCUAUGAAGUUGUAUGUACUGCCUGGGUCUAUCAUGAUGUUGAUAGGACACUGGUCAUAGUAACCAAUAACUCUCAUGCAUGAUAUCCAUCCACUCUAUUUAUAUCAUUGAGGGAAAACUCACAUAUCUCUCUACUUCUUUCUACAACUUCUUCAUGUUCUACUUCAUUCUCAGCAUGGGGUUUUUCUUCUGCUUCUUCCACUUUAAUUACCCGAUCAUCACUAAGCUCUAUUAAAUGUAAUAGGGUUGAGGUUAUACACUUAUGACCUAGUACAAACAUUUUAUCACAAAAGAAAUACAACCCCUUUAGCCUUUUCUCAUUUAUUUCAGUCUAUGAAAUCCAUCUGCCCCUGUUAAGAUUAAAUGAUCUAUUAUAACCAGUGUUCUUGAAAUAUUAGCCUCCUCCACUAUGUGUAGUAUACUUUGUCAACUUCAACUGAGCCAUUAUCUGGGAUUCAGUAGUCCUGGUGUAAAGUGCAUAGCUUACGGGAUUUAACAACAAACCCAAAUCUCGGGUUUGAGUCUAGUGAUGAACCCAUUAAUAUCAUGCUCAAGAACAAUGACCAGUCUUGCCAUUAUUCUAUCAAACUCCUCUUAAUAUUCCUUGACAGAGCCUGUUUGUCUAUCUAGUUUAAACUUAGUCAUGUGAUCCUCAUACUCAGAUAAAACCUAUCUAUUAAAGCAUAUAAGUAUUCUCCCUAGGAGGGAAAGGGUAGUUGACCCUUACUCUUUAAGUAAGAUAAAUGCCAUUCAAUAGCCAAAUUGUCAAAGUGUAAUGCAAUUCUUACCUUUUGCCCAUGAACAAUUUAAUCAUAGGAAAAGAAUUUCUCAUCCUUAUACAUCCAUGUACAUAGGUGUGUACCAUUAAACCUGGGAAACUCUACCUUAGUCCUUGGAGUCAUAAACGUCACAAAUGAAGGUGCUCCUUAUUUUUGCCAUCCAUUAUGAUGAAAUCUACCCCUGCUUGAUGGAUUCCCCUCCUUCUUGGUUGUAAGAUGAAAUUGGUCCAGAUUGUAGGUGAAAAGAAUGUUGAAAAACCUGUCCUCCCAUAUAGCUGGGUGCUGAUGCAAAUUUAAGAGGUCACGAUGAAGAGUAUUGUUGGUACACACUUGGUCCAUCAAUGUAACCUCUAGGUGUUUGAAGAAGGGGUGGAGCAGAAGUGGUGACUGAAAUUUCUCAAAUCAGAGGAUUUCUAGAAGGUGUGUAGAUCUCACCCCCCCCAUCUGUGGUAGUGGCUCCCUUCUCCUUAUUACUUCUCUAGGUAGCCUCAAUUGUUUCCUUCAAGCUAGCAGUGACCUUCUAAUAUUGUUCCUUUAUCUGGUUUUGCCUCAUAGUGAAGUUAAUCAUAUUCCGUGUCACCCUCUCUAAUAUAUCUUUAAUUUCUUUUAAUUCUCUAGCCAUUUUUGCUUCUUACAGAGCCUUAGUAAAGUGCUCUGAUACCAAAUGAUACAAACUAGGAAGAUUCAAGUGCAAAAAUGGCAAUGAGAUAGUGAUGUAAGCUUGCUAACCAAGAAAGAAUGAGAAGAAAAGAGAAGAUGAAGAAGUUAAGACAAAAGAUAAAAGAGGAU